GAUGAACGCUGGCGGCGUGCCUAAUACAUGCAAGUCGAGCGAACAGACGAGGAGCUUGCUCCUCUGACGUUAGCGGCGGACGGGUGAGUAACACGUGGAUAACCUACCUAUAAGACUGGGAUAACUUCGGGAAACCGGAGCUAAUACCGGAUAAUAUAUGGAACCGCAUGGUUCAAUAGUGAAAGACGGUUUUGCUGUCACUUAGAGAUGGAUCCGCGCCGCAUUAGCUAGUUGGUAAGGUAACGGCUUACCAAGGCAACGAUGCGUAGCCGACCUGAGAGGGUGAUCGGCCACACUGGAACUGAGACACGGUCCAGACUCCUACGGGAGGCAGCAGUAGGGAAUCUUCCGCAAAGGGCGAAAGCCUGACGGAGCAACGCCGCGUGAGUGAUGAAGGUCUUCGGAUCGUAAAACUCUGUUAUUAGGGAAGAAAAAAUGUGUAAGUAACUAUGCACGUCUUGACGGUACCUAAUCAGAAAGCCACGGCUAACUACGUG
rnacentral:rRNA from 1 species